rnacentral:antisense_RNA from 1 species
CUUCACCGACCCCAAAUACAGCGGACGCUCCCGGCCCUGCCCGUAAGUGGCGAGUACCGCCUGUGCCUC